rnacentral:rRNA from 1 species
CCUACGGGCGGCAGCAGUGGGGGAUAUUGCACAAUGGGGGAAACCCUGAUGCAGCGACGCCGCGUGUGGGAUGACGGUCCUCUGGAUUGUAAACCACUGUCCCCCGGGACGAAGAUGACGGUACCUGGGGCGGACGCUCCGGCUAACUACGUGCCAGCAGCCGCGGUCAUACGUAGGGAGCGAGCGUUGUCCGGAAUUACUGGGUGUAAAGGGAGCGUAGGCGGGACUGCAAGUUGGGUGUCAAAUCUACCGGCUCAACCGGUAGCCGCACUCAAAACUGCAGUUCUUGAGUGAAGUAGAGGCAGGCGGAAGUCGUAGUGUAGCGGUGAAAUGCGUAGAUAGUAGGAGGAACACCAGUGGCGAAGGCGGCCUGCUGGGCUUUUACUGACGCUGAGGCUCGAAAGUGUGGGGAUCAAACAGGAUUAGAGACCCCAGUAGUC